GUUGAAUAUGACAUGAUCUGGAUUUGCAUGUUGUAAGAUAUUGGAUCCUUUCUUAUUUCUACAUGUAAUAAGUGGCGGGUUGUUUAUCAGUUUUAAUCUGCAUUGAAAUUUUAAUCAACAGCCAAGUGAUUAAAAGUGCAUUUCUUAUGCUUAUAUGUCAUAUUUAUGAACUUUCGUUUGAGAAACUAUGUCAAACAUGUCCACAGCAGUUCUUUUUCUUUUCUAAUAACUAUAAAAAGUAUUACCAUAUGGAAUUUUAUUGCUCUCAAUUCUGAAUUUAUUAUUUUUUUCAGAAUAUUUUACUUGUUUGACGGCUAUAGCACUGUUCUUGCUAUUCAUUUUCUGUGUGGCAGCAGAUUUCUGUUUUUCUCUUUCUGUUCUCGUAAUUAUUUAUUUAUUUUUGGGUCUGCGUUGGGAAUUUUUAAGUUGAUUGAUGUGAUAUGGGUAUCUGCAUCCUCAUUUUCAUUUGCUUCUUUUAUUCCUUUUUAUUUUCCAUUUUUUUUUUCAUUUUAAUGGAAACUCUUUGCAUUUCUUCGUCAAAGGGUGAGUCAUAUGGCUGAAAUAAUCCCUUCAUUUUGAUUACUUUUCUCCCCUAUAUGAAUGUUAGAUUGGAAUUUUUGACUAAUGAGGGAAGUUUGAGAUAAUUAUAUAAUACUGAUAGUCAAUCAUUUAGCUUUUUUCAUUAAGUUUAUGAUAUGCUUGGCAAUGAUGUUUGUUUCCAAUUGCCCUACUAUAUCAUUAUGAGAUAUUGAAUGUCUGAGUACUAAAGGUAGUUUUUGUCAUGUUAGACGCUCAUGGUCAUUUUGAAAUUACAACUCUAUGCAUGAGGAGCAUAUAUUUUGACUAAAGAACACUUGGUGCCUUUGUAUAUGUACUCCCAGCCAAACAUACUGCAAGGUUUUCCUUGCUUUGCUUGUAGAAGUACAAUAGUCUUGUAUCAUGCUUGCCCACUGCUUGCUACUUUCUAAGAAAUAUUUUUAAUAAUGCCAUUUUUUCUGUUGACAACUGAACAUUCAAAUUGGCGUAGUUAUUAUUUAGAUAAACAUGAUGGGCAGAAUGGCGGGUAAAAACAACAUUACUUACUUUUAUACGAAUACAUCUGUUUUUGGUCCUACAGUUAACUAUUAACUUACCUGUGAUACAGUUUCAGAAGUUCUAAUCUACCCAUAAAUGCUUUCUUGUUCUGUAAUUACAAUAACAAUACGCAGAACACAUUACUUCUUCUUUUAUCAUAGUUCUGCUUGUUUGAUUGGUGGAACUUUCUUACAUGAGAUGGCCAUUAUUUAGUUUUUACUCACAUUUUUAAAUUUUUUGAUGUCAAAAGAAAUUUUAGGGACAUCUCUAGUGCAUGAGAUUCCUUGCUUUGUGAGGAUUAGGAGAAGGUACAGCUAUCUAUUUUUUGCACAGCCUAUCCAUUGAUUUUUUCUUUUUCAGUUGCUGUUUCCAUGAGUUAGACAGCUGAUUUUCUGGUCACAAAGAAGUAACCUCGCCACAGUGCCAAAGCUUGUCUUUGUAGAAAAUACAGCAUGAAGGAUAGGAUAUCUUCUAGAAUCACAUUUAGUGUCUACGUUUAUUUUAUACUUUUUUUCUCCUUCGUAAGUAUAUGGUCACACCUGGCCACUCGCAUUCAUAAAUAUGUUUUAAUGAGCAUAAAGAAGAAGGGCACAUUAGCCAUUAGGAGCAACUAAGGUAGCAUUUCUAGUUAAUUUUAGAAUCUUAUGUCUUCUUUCACUCUGGAUGGAAAUUUUGUUAGUCUUUUGCCCAGGCAUAACACCUUUGCUUUAUGUCUUGAAUGCUGCUGAACAUUCCCAUUGCAGAUGCGAUCCCUACGACAAAAGCCAUGCUCUUGCAAAUAUAUGUAGCUAUGAAGGCUAUGCCGUGGUACUGUGCUCUCCCAUCUGUUUCUGAGUACAUGGUUGAAAAUGGCUGGACAAAAUGUUUUGCAAGCAUAUGUGAUGUUGGUUGGUUUGCCUACAUCAUGUCUUUAAUUGCAUAUUUUGUUGUGGUGGAGUUUGGGAUUUACUGGAUGCACAGAGAAUUACAUGAUAUAAAACCUCUAUACAAGUAUCUUCAUGCAACCCAUCACAUCUAUAACAAGCAGAAUACUCUUUCUCCAUUUGCAGGUUUGGCAUUUCACCCGCUCGACGGAAUACUGCAAGCAGUCCCGCAUGUUAUAGCUUUGUUCAUCAUUCCUACACAUUUUAGAUCACAUGUAGCUCUCUUAUUCCUUGAGGCCAUAUGGACUGCAAACAUUCAUGAUUGUAUUCAUGGCAAGAUCUGGCCUAUUAUGGGUGCCGGCUAUCACACCAUCCACCAUACUUCAUAUCGGCAUAAUUAUGGCCAUUAUACCAUAUGGAUGGAUUGGAUGCUGGGUACCCUUCGUGACCCCGAGGAAGAUGUCUUUGAGAAGGUUAAGUGAUACACAAUUACACAUCUGUAUGCCUUGACAUAAUGCUCGUACAUUGUCAGUACUUUGUUAGGUGCACGUCCAUUUUGGUUGUGGUACUUCUGAUAUGUGCCUUUUGUAUGCAAAUGUUCUUGUUCUUUUAAAUAGAAGGUUUGUUUGUCUGCUUAAACAACUUGCAGCUUUGAUCUCAGCCCUAUAACCCAUGUACUCGAUCUAUUUCUGUUGUGUAAGUUGUUAUGUUGGGAAUGUAUUUUUCAAUUGAUGGAUGUCGCUAAUUCGCAAUCCUGUAUUUUCUGUGCGUAUGCUGUGCCAAGUGUGUUAUGGGAAAUGCAAUGUGGAAAGCAAGCAAGCAACAUGUUUGCCAUUUCAAUGAAUUAGAAGAUGGAACUCUAUCAUAUAAGCGGG
rnacentral:misc_RNA from 1 species